AUGGCGGUAGUGGUCGCUCUCUCCUUGAGGCGCCGGUUCCGGCCGCAGCGCUCGGCGGGGCCCGCCUGCAGACCUGCCAUGGGGCCCAGACAGCUGCAGCCGCAGCACCGAGAAUCAAGAAAUUUGCCGUCCGUUUAUGGGACCCAGACAAGACUGGAGACAAACCUCACAUGCAGACUUAUGAGAUUGAUUUGAAUAACUGUGGUCCUAUGGUGUUGGAUGCUUUAAUCAAGAUUAAGAAUGAAACUGAUUCUACCUUGACCUUCCGAAGAUCAUGCAGAGAAGGCAUCUGUGGCUCCUGUGCCAUGAACAUCAAUGGAGGCGACACUCUGGCAUGUACCCGCAGGAUCGACACCAACCUCAACAAAGUUUCCAAAAUCUACCCUCUCCCACAUAUGUAUGUGACUAAGGAUCUUGUUCUUGAUUUGAGCAACUUCUAUGCUCAGUACAAGUCCAUCAAGCCUUACUUAAAGAAGAAGGAUGAGUCCCAGGGAGGCAAGGAGCAGUAUCUGCAGUCCAUAGGAGACCGAGAGAAACUGGACGCGCUCUAUGAGUGUAUUCUCUGCACCUGCUGCAGUGCCAGCUGCCCGAGCUACUGGUGGAACGGAGACAAGUACCUGGGCCCCGCGGUCCUCAUGCAGGCCUAUCACUGGAUGAUCGACUCCAGAGACGACUUCACGGAGGAGAGCCUGGCCAAGCUGCAGGACCCCUUCUCUCUGUACCGAUGCCACACCAUCAUGAACUGCACGCGGACCUGCCCCAAGGGGCUGAAUCCUGGGAAAGCUAUUGCUGAAAUCAAGAAGAUGAUGGCAACCUAUAAAGAGAAGCAAGCUUCUGCUUAACUGUGCCAUGCUCAACCUGACUGUAGCCAGCUCAGAAUGCAGUUUACCUCCGCGUUCCUUCAGAGGUCGUGAUUUCCCACAAAUACAUCAAGUACAAUAAACAGUCUACGAAAGAAAUAAACGUUAUUCUAGUUUAUUUUUAAAAAAUUAAAAAAAGAACAGUGGUCUCCUAUGAGGCAAGGGGAUUGACUGGAAUAGAAUAUGAGGAAAACUUUCCAGAACAAUGAAAAUACUAUGUAUUUUCUUAUGGUGGUGGUUAAAGGGGUACUGUCCAUGUAAAAUGCAUUUCAAUGAAUAUGCAUUUCACAUAAAUUAAAAAUUUUUUUAGUUAUAAACAGUAAAAUAAAAUUUAACUUAUCAAAAGAAAAAAAGCAGAGUAAUCAAACUGUGAAAUAGCCAAGACUUAAUUUUCCUAAUGAAUUUCUUCAAUACUCUGCCAAAAUGUUUUAAGUACCCAGCACAGUUAAGUUUACCACUACUUAUAACUCCUUAGUAAAAAAUUAAUAUAUAAAUAAUUAACAGGCAAAAUAAAUUUUCAGAUAAACAAGAGCUGAGAGUUUCCCACCAACAGAUCUUUCUUGGUACAACAAAUAGUUAAAUUUUUCAUGCUGACGGGAAAUGAUACCAGAAGAAACUUUUACAUCAAGAGUGCCAAAAAUGGUAAAUAUAUAAUAUUUUUUCUCAUUUCUUGUAUUCUUUAAAAGAAUUAACUUUUGA